UACGUAGGUGGCAAGCGUUGUCCGGAUUUACUGGGCGUAAAGAGCGCGCAGGCGGUCGAUCAAGUCGCGUGUGAAAGCCCCCGGCUCAACUGGGGAGGGUCACGCGAUACUGAUCGACUCGAAGGCAGGAGAGGGUAGUGGAAUUCCCGGUGUAGUGGUGAAAUGCGUAGAUAUCAAGAGGAACACCAGUGGCGAAGGCGACUUCCUGGCCUGUUCUUGACGCUGAGGCGCGAAAGCUAGGGUAGCAAACGGG
rnacentral:rRNA from 1 species